CAGUCGCCGCGGUAAUACGUAGGUGGCAAGCGUUGUCCGGAAUUAUUGGGCGUAAAGGGCUCGCAGGCGGUUUCUUAAGUCUGAUGUGUAAGCCCCCGGCUCAACCGGGGAGGGUCAUUGGAAACUGGGAAACUUGAGUGCAGAAGAGGAGAGUGGAAUUCCACGUGUAGCGGUGAAAUGCGUAGAGAUGUGGAGGAACACCAGUGGCGAAGGCGGCUCUCUGGUCUGUAACUGACGCUGAGGAGCGAAAGCGUGGGGAGCGAACAGGAUUAGAUACCCGCGUAGUCCCUGUCUCUUAUAC
rnacentral:rRNA from 1 species